CUUUUUGUUUGAUGGAUUUGGACAAAUAUUUCGUAAUGAUACUCAGGUUGGGUCGAGUUCGGUCACAUCAGCACAAAGACACUGAAAAUACAGAACUUUUGUGAAACGAUAUCAUAGCCCCGCCUCUGUAUCCUCAGCCGCUCAUAAUUAAUGAUGUUGUUGUUGACAGUUUAAUUAAACUUUUUUGUCUUGAUGGAUCAUUAAUGUGAUUUAUUUGUGGUGUGAGCAGAAUGCUGAAGAGAUGACACAUGGCAUUACAUUUGCAUCAUGUGAAGUGGACUUGUUGACCCAGCACACAGAGUAAAUAAAAAGUCUUAAUCUGACCUAUUGCGUCCUUUCAGACGGACUCAUCAUCACAGCCUGACGGAAACUGUUGUCUACAUAAGACGCCCUGCUUUUGGAAGAUGAUGUCUGGAAAUACUUUACAUCCUUAUCGUGGAGACUGGUUGUGAAUAAACAAAGAAGAGUGUGUUAAAAUCUUGAGAAUGACAAAUUGACACGCGUCUGCAUGUAUUGACAAUGACGGCCCUUUGCACAUGUAACACAACAGGCCUACAAGCACAUGGGAGAUUUUGGUCAGUUUCUAACUGCUCUCUGUCACGUUUGUCUGUUACAUCAGAAACGUAUUUGCAGCUCGGUAUCUGAAGCGUGUAUUAGCAGAGUCCGACUUAUGAAGCAUUGACUCAUUUCACUUAGCUUACAGCAGAGAGUGGUGUCAGAUGGAUUUUGUUUCCGUGUCAAAGCUGUAAAGCCGUUAAAUCCUUCAUUAUGAAUAGUCUGCUCCGUUUGACUGUAGUGAUUCAAUGAGAAGUUGUUGAGAUAGCUGUAACCUUAUUUAAAGUAAAACAGCUGGAUUACACCAUAAAAAAUGAGUUUGUUCCUUUGACUCAGCGUACCACCAGAGGGAGCUCACGUACCAUCAUAG